rnacentral:rRNA from 1 species
UGGAAUCGCUAGUAAUCGCAGAUCAGAAUGCUGCGGUGAAUACGUUCCCGGGUCUUGUACACACCGCCCGUCACACCAUGGGAGUUGGAAAUGCCCGAAGCCAGUGACCCAACCGUAAGGAGGGAGCUGUCGAAGGUGGAGCCGAUGACUGGGGUAAAGUCGUAACAAGGUAGC